CCGUCGACGUCGCAGCCAACCAUGCCCUUCAUCAUGCCUGUUUCACCAUCGCAGCCCAUGUCGUGCCAGACCCCAGCCUCGCAGAUGACAUCCGUUUCGGAUACACCGCCGACCCCAUGUACUCCAAUUCAACAUCCACCAAGCCUUACCUCCAACGUUCCCCAGACGGUUUCUUCUACUUCGCCAACCACAUCGCCAUCCCUAAUGUCCCAUCUUUACGCCGCCGCCUACUUCACGAAUUCCAUGAUGCUGCUUACUCUGGUCAUCCUGGUUUCCGUUGCACCCUCGCCGCGAUAUCAACCCGCUACUGGCUUACAUGGCCCGCACCGUCAAAGCCUAUGUCAAGUCCUGCCCCAUCUGUCAACGCACCAAGCCAUCCACCCAGCCUCCGCCUGGCCUCCUCCACCCGCUACCCACUCCCACGCAACCCUGGACACACGUGUCUCUGGACUUCAUCACCGACCUGCCGCCCUCUAAAGGUUUAGACGGCCGCACCUACACCGCAAUCCUCACCUUCGUCGAUAUGUUCACCAAGCAAGCCCACUUUGCCCUCACUAACAAGACCACCACCGCUCACGACACCGCCCUACUCUUCCUCACCCACAUCUACCGUCUACACGGUCUUCCAACAACCCUCGUCUCAGACCGAGAUUCCCGCUUCAUGUCCGACGUCUGGCGCACCUUCUGGGAGCACCUUGGCACGUCCCUAAACAUCUCCUCCGCCUAUCACCCACAAACUGACGGUCAAACCGAGAGAACACAUCGCACUAUUGAACAGAUCCUCCGCGCUUACAUUCAACCUAUGCAGGACAACUGGGCAUCAUACCUUCCGAUCGCCGAAGCAGCAUACAACAACGCCACCCACGCAAGCACCGGCAUGACACCAUUCUACGCCAAUCACGGUUACCACCCGCGCACUCCCAUCUCCCUCCACGGCCCCCAAGCCGCUUCACCUUCCUCUCACCCGCAGGCUACAGAACUGCAGCAGCGUAUGAGCGACAUCCAUGCCACCAUCAACCGCGAAAUCCAAGCCGCCAAAACCCGCUAUGCUGCCGCAGCUAACCAGCAUCGCCGCGCCAUCACCUUCAAAGUUGGCGAUCGCGUCCGACUGUCUACAGAACACCUCACCCUGCCGACCUACCCCUCCCCAAAACUCCGCCCUCGCUACCUCGGCCCUUUCCUCAUCUCCUCCGUCAUUUCUCCAGUUGCAUACCGCCUUCACCUUCCAGCCUCCCUCGGCCGCUUGCAUCCAGUAUUCCACAUCAGCCGCCUCCUUCCAUGGACGGACAACGACCCAGCACUCUUCCCCGGCCGCCCACCACCUCCCCCUGCAGCCCCUACUGCACUAGAAUCCCCAUAUGACAGUGCAGAUACUGUUGUUACAGCUGUUCGCCUAGGGUAUAACAAGCGCGCACGCCCGUCCGUCAUGUUCCUCGUGCAGUGGUCCGCUAGUAGUAAACGCGACCCCUCAUGGGAACCAUACGACGACGUGCACAACCUGCCAGCGCUUCGUGCCUUCCUGAGGAGCCCAAGCUGGACCGCGUGCAGGCUAUCAGAUCGCUAUGCGUGGUUCAGAGCCAAGUUCCCGGAGCAUGCCCCAAGGAUCGUACAGUUUUUGGCAGAGUAGAGCUGCGGCUGGAUGUGUGUGUGUGUGUCAUCAUGUGUAUUCGGUAUAUCUGUGCGUCUUCGUUCUGUUCCUGUCCGUAGAUUACACCAGUCAGUUCAACGUAGUGUGGUAUUGCAUUUCACGUGUGUGUUCGCGUCUGGGUAUUUGGGUUCCGUGUAGUCAGAUUUAAGUCGUUUUCGUAGCAGCUUUUGCGUAUCUCCGGAUUCUUAAGCCGGAUAUGGUAGGAGUCGUGCGCCACAUUUUAGGCCGGUAUCCAGUGCGGGGAAGGUUUUGCCUUGACUCCGGUUCCCUUUUGCCUUCCCCUCGUUAGCCUGGUACCGAUUUCGUUCAGGGAAUCGGAGAGGCGCACGACUAUGGCCGCUUAGUGACGUUUUCGCACCGAGGACGGUGCUUGUUUUUAAGGAGGGGAGUGUGUAAGGUUUUGCAGUUCGUUAGCGCGCGCUUCUGAGACCAUGUCGAAACUUCGGAGCUAGUGGAGCUUGAUCCUGUGGUUCUCCGUGUGAGACAAUGGCGCGUUAUUAUGACUAUUUAAGCGGACCAUUUUAUGAACAUUGUAAGUCUAAGUUGAAGUUGAAAGCCCGAUCUUCUGUGCUUACGCAAGUAUAUCGGCCAGUAAAGUCAGCUUGCACUUCCCAGUUGUUAGGAGCGGCCUGGUUCCCUUUCAUGAUUCCACAAUGUCCGUAAACGUGGUUGAAGUUCAACAGAGCCACGUCGUUGCAGUUAUCGUUGUGCGGUGCCAUUUUUAGAUACUUUAGCCCUCUCGCCUUUUUUAUUCCUUUUGAUUUUUUAUUUUGAGUUCAUGUUGUUUGGACGAUUACUGGAUUAAUUCACAGUUAGCAUAGACUUGUCCGUGAGGCAUGCAGACAUGCCGGACGGGUAGGUGGAGUAGGCAUGCAUAUGCAGACAUGUCACUGCUCCGCAACGGACAGGGAGACGAAUAUUAUUCAGUGUUUCAGGGCUCCCCGGGCCCUUACCCAUGUAACAUACGAGUGGCAAUUUCUGAGCAUCCCAGAGCAAUCCGUCAGCCAACAACACUAUGGGGGUGGUACACGAUAGGGCUGCUCAGGCCUGGGGUCUCAGGGUUCAAAGAGAGGCGGGCUGCUUGAAGGGGGCAGGGUGAACACCGUCAAGGGUGUGGGCACACAAUAGUUGAUCGCUUGGCCCCCGCCACCCCCAGUAAUACGUUUAGAUGGCUCUACCUUCGAGCACGAUUGGAAUCCAC
rnacentral:lncRNA from 1 species